ACUUCUUCUCCCUAGGUACAAACAUUUGUUAAGUGUUAGCUUGGCUGGCUGCUUGGCUGUAAAACAACAGAAUAUUAAACAACCCUACUGAUUUCUUUCCUCUAUGGUUGGUUUUGUGACUUUUGUUGGAUUACAGUUGACCCUCUCUGAAAUGUUUUGUGAUAGGAUAAUGUAUAAAGGAUUUCAGAUAAAAGUUACUGAAUGAGGAGAUCCUCCACACACACGGUGCAUCCAUGGUCUGCAGGCUGAAAUCUCUCAAAGAUGGGGAAACCAAACUGCUGUGAUGCUGCCAAGAUCACUGGGCUGAUUUGUCUUGAUUUUUCUUGCAGACUUGGCUAGCAAAGUACCAUGGUGCUGGAAGGUGUUCUUCCUUUCGUCAGUUACUCUAUCAAAUCACUUCUAAGGGCUCUCAUAUGAUGCAGCACAAGAAGCAUGGCCCAACACUUUGGUCUGAGUCUAAGGACUUGUCUACACUUACCGGGUGAUCCACGUGUGGCGACCGAUGCAUCAGCAGUUGAUUUAGCGGGUCUAGUGAAGACCCGCUAAAUCGACUGAAGUGGCAUUCCUGUCAACUCCUGUACUCCACC